CCCCGGAUUGAUAACUGGAUGGAUUGAUCGGUGUUCAGUCCCUUUCUGUCUUUUAAGUAUUCGGAAAAGCAAAGUCUGAAGAAACAUUCCUGGUUUUGGUAUGCCUUAUUUAUAGGGUACCUAUUAUCUCAAUCGUUUGUUUUUUCCCCGACAUUU
rnacentral:snoRNA from 1 species